rnacentral:rRNA from 1 species
CCUACGGGAGGCAGCAGUCGAGAAUCAUUCACAAUGGGGGAAACCCUGAUGGUGCGACGCCGCGUGGGGGAAUGAAGGUCUUCGGAUUGUAAACCCCUGUCAUGUGGGAGCAAAUUAAAAAGAUAGUACCACAAGAGGAAGAGACGGCUAACUCUGUGCCAGCAGCCGCGGUAAUACAGAGGUCUCAAGCGUUGUUCGGAAUCACUGGGCGUAAAGCGUGCGUAGGCUGUUUCGUAAGUCGUGUGUGAAAGGCGCGGGCUCAACCCGAGGACGGCACAUGAUACUGCGAGACUAGAGUAAGGGAGGGGGAACCGGAAUUCUCGGUGUAGCAGUGAAAUGCGUAGAUAUCGAGAGGAACACUCGUGGCGAAGGCGGGUUCCUGGACAUUAACUGACGCUGAGGCACGAAGGCCAGGGGAGCGAAAGGGAUUAGAUACCCCAGUAGUC